rnacentral:rRNA from 1 species
AUGCGUCAGUAUGAGUAUGGAAGCCGUACUAGCCUGGGAAGUGUUACCCAAAUCAGUGGUGGUCGUGAAGCAGUGCAGGGCACUAUGAUGCGUAUGGAUAUAUCAAUGAAUUGGCAUUUUUUGCGAAAAGAAGAAUUUGAGAGGAGUCGAAUUUAUUCACAUGACAACAUGAUAUUUGGGGGCAAGGAAGUGCUUAUCGCACGGUUAUUAACCAGUAUGUUCUGCUGCAAUACAACAAAAUCAGAGGUGAUUCAGUCUUUGUUUUUGCUUGACCGACAUAUCAAUGGAAUUUCUUGGCAUGUCCUAGUCACAGGUUCACAACGGCAAUGGUUUUCAAGUGGUUCUUCUCAUAUAUUUAUUGAGGAAAAUGUUCCAGAGAUUUGCAAUCAGCCGACCUCGUGUGCAAGAGUGCUACGCUGCCAACGUAUACCAGUCUUAGAUGCCCCAAUUCAUGCUGAAUGUGUUCCAUCUUGUUUUUGUGCUGUACUCUGUUCAAAGGAUCCGGGGUUACAUACUGCUGCUAGAGGAUUCUUGCUCCUUCCAAAUGACAAUGGUAUACCUGGUGCGUGGUUAGUUCUGCUGUGCCAGAGUCACACAACUCUGUUAGCUGCUCAAUGUGUGGAUGAUGAAACCACAAGAAAGCGGUGCAAGGAGGUGCCAUGGGAACCCAGUGAUUUUUACAUGGCAUCAGUUGUUCUCACCAGGUUGCAGCCAGAAAAAUUUCAACAAGGGAGGGGUGUCGCAGUUCUGGCUACAUUCUUUAAGCAAGCCCCCAUUGGCCACCACUACUACCACGACUUCGGCCACAACGGUGCCGACAACGAUCGCAACUACAAGUAUCUCACUGAAGUCUACCAUGUCCUCGGCUACCACCGCGACGUCGAGCCAGUCAAAGACCAUCGAGUGCAAUGGGAUCCGGGCGGUUCUCGGUGGAGUCGGCUUGGGGUCAAGCCGAAUUUCAAAAAAGGGGGGAUGUUAGGGCCCUUCCCCAGCCCAUACGUGUAUGUGGGCUUGCCUAUGGACAUCACUUGGGCCUGGCCCGGCUGGGAAUCCUCAAGGGCUGCAGCUACUUAUACCUGGGAGGAAGCAACGAGCAGACCAUCCGCGUAG